rnacentral:rRNA from 1 species
ACGGGAGGCAGCAGUGGGGAAUAUUGCACAAUGGGCGCAAGCCUGAUGCAGCGACGCCGCGUGCGGGAUGGAGGCCUUCGGGUUGUAAACCGCUUUUGUUCAAGGGCAAGGCACGGUUUCGGCCGUGUUGAGUGGAUUGUUCGAAUAAGCACCGGCUAACUACGUGCCAGCAGCCGCGGUAAUACGUAGGGUGCAAGCGUUAUCCGGAUUUAUUGGGCGUAAAGGGCUCGUAGGCGGUUCGUCGCGUCCGGUGUGAAAGUCCAUCGCUUAACGGUGGAUCCGCGCCGGGUACGGGCGGGCUUGAGUGCGGUAGGGGAGACUGGAAUUCCCGGUGUAACGGUGGAAUGUGUAGAUAUCGGGAAGAACACCAAUGGCGAAGGCAGGUCUCUGGGCCGUUACUGACGCUGAGGAGCGAAAGCGUGGGGAGCGAACAGGAUUAGAUACCCUGGUA